UACUAAAGUUUCUUCUUUGCUUUUUGCGUUCCAUGGUUAAUGUACGGUUUAAUUGUUGGGCUGGUAUGUUGUUUAGCUGGGCUCUUUAAUCAUCAAUUUCGUAGCCCAAUUAUAUUGAAAUUCACCGAGUUCUUUUUUUUUCUGAAAAAAUUUCAAUGUCUUCUUGAGACGCCAUCUUCUUGCCAUCGACUUCUAGGGUUAAUGUUGUUCAAGCUCCGAUUUGUUCACCUGAGAAUGGAGUUUCAGGAGGGUUUGAGACAAAACUUUGUGACGAAUAGAUGGAUUGAGAUUUUUUUUCCGAGCUUCUCAGUUUCUUAUUGCCUGAACCGUUACGGGAUGCAUUAAUUCUUAUCCAUUAACGACCUUUGUAACUCAAUCAACCCGCUCCGAUCACAAUUCCCUCAUUCAAUGCAUCUUACCUCUCUUCCAGGCGGUGCAUCUCCAGCUUCUCAUCUGUCCAGCUUCCCUCUGUAACCAUAUUCUGCACUAUAUAUAUGAACCCAAACAAGCUUCCAAAUCUCCUUCGGCUUUCAUAUUUGUUACUCUUUGUAAGCCUCUCUACAGUCAUGGUAAAUUCUCAACUGUUUCUGUCUGAGCUCCACAGGAAUUGAGUUUACUUAGCUGAGAAAAAGAGGAAUUAAGUUUCUUAAAUUUGAUGGAAAGCUGGCUCCGAAGGCGAGUCUUACAGGAGUUCAGUGAAACCAAACAGAAACAGCUCUGGUUACAUCUCUGAAAGCUGGAGGAGUCGGUCUGGAUCUGACCGCAGCUUCAAACGUCGUCUUCAAGCUUGCGGUUAAAUUCUAAUCCAUUAUGAAGAAAUGGUGAUGAUGAUUAUAUCCUCUUUGUUUUUUGAAAUACUUAGGAUCCAUGGUGGACUACGGCUAUUGAAGAGGCAGCAAUCAUGAGAAUCCAUCUCAUAAGAAAGAAUUUUAUGCGCAUAAGAUUUUUGUUAUAUUAUUUAGAUCAUUAUUGAAAAAUAUCACAUGUAGAGUACAAUUCACUUAUAACCUGUCAAACACUUGAAAAAAAAAAGAUAUUAGCUCAUGUUUCCUUUUCGUAUGAUGCAACAGCUUAAAAACCGAAAAUAGACGCUCAACAAGGAAAGAGAAACAUGGUUGAUGACGUGAUUCUAGACAGCUUAUCAAUACUGUUGUUCUUUUUAUUUGUUGGUAAUUGUUUCUUAAUUCACUGAGACAUGUUUUCUGUUCCAGCUAGAGGAUUUGGAGAAAGAAACAUUGAAAUGGUGCAGAGAAAUCACAUGGAACAGUUCUACUGCAAUUUGUGUGCUGAAUGCAGGAUUGCACUCAGUGAUGAGAAUGGCAGACUUCAUGGGCUAGGACGCCAAGAAUGAGACACUCUUAUACUAUGGAAUCGAAGAAGCUACUGAAGAAUGUCUUUCUGCAGGAGCUUGGAGGCGAUACCACACUCUUAUUCUAUGUUAAGGUGUCUUUCUGCUUUUCCAUGGGAAGCAGUCCCUGUCACUGCAGAAGAAGAGCCACCACCAGAUCUUUUCUGCUGUAGCUCUGAUGGUGCUGCCAAAAAUCUGUGUCUGUCCGUGUGUAAGUAUCUGCUGCUGAGACUGGAACUUCUUGAGAUUUAAGCAAUUGUAAGACGUCAAUAAUGAGGCUGCAGGUUUUUUCCAUUGGGAUGAUGUGGCAGUAACAGAAUCAGGUUGAGAAUGAGUCAUCAUUUAACUCCAACCAGUUUGCUGCUGAUCUGUGUAAGAUGAUGGGAAAACAUUAAGGGGUCUCCAUCCAUUGUUGUUGCUGCAGUAAGAGGCCAAGUACUAGAAAGAAAGUUGCGGUCUAUGGAUGGACUGUCAUAAAACAGCGUCGGACCAUUCAUUGAUGGGGUCCUCAGUAAGUCUUUUCGGGGUCCUCGACAUGAGCUUAACAGUUCCAUCUCCUGUCUUUGAGUCACUUGCCUGAAGUUUUUUUUUGCUGGUGAACAACGGGAACUGUAGAUACGAACUGGUAGCCUUUGGAAGAGGAAUUCAAAUUCGCAGGGGCAGUACCAUUGGAAAAAGAGGUUAACGACAUGGAAAAGUUUUGUGGCUGCAUAGGAGCAGUCAUGAUCUGGCCAUGUAGCGCUCCUAUAUGAGUGUGCUACUCCUUGAAACUGGAUUAUCUCCUUCAGUUUUGGCUUUAAACUUUUGAGAUUGUUGAUCCUGUACCUGAAUAUUAGCUUGGCUUGAGACGCUUUUCACACUAACUUGCGGUUGCAGUUGCAUAUGCGGUUGGGGAACAACUUGAUGAUGCCUUUGUCUCUCUUAAACAGUAUUCAUGCAAACUCUACAAAACUUUGAUUAUUUUUUUUGUAGUUAUUUUUGGUUAAUUUACCAAUAGUUGUAUUUAAAACUCGAUUUAAUUAUAAUUAAAAUAAAAAUUAUUAGAUUUA